UACGUAGGGGGCAAGCGUUGUCCGGAUUUAUUGGGCGUAAAGAGCUCGUAGGCGGCUCGGUAAGUCGGAUGUGAAACCUCCAGGCUCAACCUGGAGACGCCAUCUGAUACUGACGUGGCUUGAGGCCGGUAGAGGAGCAGGGAAUUCCUGGUGUAGCGGUGAAAUGCGCAGAUAUCAGGAGGAACACCAGCGGCGAAGGCGCUGCUCUGGGCCGGUACUGACGCUGAGGAGCGAAAGCGUGGGGAGCGAACAGG
rnacentral:rRNA from 1 species